rnacentral:rRNA from 1 species
CUACUGGGGUAUCUAAUCCUGUUUGAUCCCCACGCUUUCGUGCCUCAGUGUCAAUCACACUUUAGUGAGCUGCCUUCGCAAUCGGUGUUCUGUGACAUAUCUAUGCAUUUCACCGCUACUUGUCACAUUCCGCCCACUUCAACUGUAUUCAAGCCCAUCAGUAUCAAAGGCACUGCGAUAGUUAAGCUACCGUCUUUCACCCCUGACUUAAUAGGCCACCUACGCACCCUUUAAACCCAAUAAAUCCGGAUAACGCUUGGAUCCUCCGUAUUACCGCGGCUGCUGGCAC